rnacentral:lncRNA from 1 species
CUUUUUAAGAAUUAAAAAGGAUGUUACAUCACAGGAAAAGCGUGUAAAGCAGGAAGAAGGCAAGGCCAGACCGCUCUUCCUAUGUUGAUAAAGCUAUGAGAAGAGUAGCUUUGACAAUGCUGAAGGUUUGUGUGUUGCUCUUAUUUGCAACCCAGAUUAUUCAAGGUUACACUGCUGUGGAAAACCGGACAAUUGUGGUCUCUUGCCCGAAGCAAAAGGGGAAGUCAGGCUACGUGUUCUGUCAUGGAAAUCAUAGCGAUGUCAGGAGAAACAACUUACUCAGUGAGGAAUGGGAAAUUGAGGGUUUCCCGAUGGCACAUAUCGAUUAUUACCCUUUUGUGAAGAACUUUAACCAGACAGUGGUGAAUAAUGUGACCAUGGGAUGCAUCACGCUUUUGCAAUGUCGGAACGUCAACUUCAAGGCAAUUCUGAAAGCCGGGAGGCUGAUACAGGAGGAGAGGGUGAGCUUUGUCACUGAAGUCAUGCAUCAUCAUGGAGAAGAAUCUGUAGUGUCAAACUUCUGGAUUAUUGGUCUCAUUGUGUCCUUUGUCCUCUCUGGCAUCUUCAUUCUGAUAGUGGUGACAUGCCUGUGUAGGAGAAAAAGGAGGUCAGAAGAGGAGGCUUCAGCUUAUAACCACUACGCUGCCGCCCUACCCUGGGAUGAGGAGCAGCUGUGAAUGUCUUGCACUGGGCUGAAAGAACAUGAAGCUGAACGCCAUGGUGGACAUGUGCAGCCUAACAUAACCAGUGUUUUUCAGCGGGGUAAUAUCCUCCAAAGGGGAUGUGCGAAGGAUUAUAAGGAAAAAAUAGUUAUACAAUAUAGAAAUUUUCCAUUAUGUAAAUUUAUAUGAACAAAGAUAAAUUGUGAAACAUUUAUACAUACUAUUAGAAAUAGUAUUAUAUAACACUUAUAUAUUAAGAAUAUCAUUAAUUUUAUAAUUCAUACAUACAACUAUGCGUGUAUUUUACAAGGUCAGUGACAAUAAGACGUAAUAUACUGCGCUAAAAUAUUAUAUAUUUUUUAUUAGUAUAUACAGUACGAGAGGGGCGCAGUGGUGUGGUGGGUUGGACCAGGUCCUGCUCUCCGGUGGGUCUGGGGUUAGAGUCCCGCUUGGGGUGCCCUGCGGUGGACUGGCGUCCCAUCCUGGGUGUGUCCCCUCCCCCUCUGGCCUUACGCCCUGUGUUGCCGGCUAGGCACCGGUUCCCCAGGACCCCGUAUGGGACAAGCAGUUCAGAAAAUGUGUAUGUGUAUCUAUACAGUACUGUGCAAAAAUUCUAGGCACUUAAGGGAAAAAGCUGUAAAGUGAGAAUGCUUCCAAAAAUAAUUCUCUUAAUUAAUAAACUUCCUACAAAGCUUAGUAACCA